UACGGGGGGGGCAAGCGUUGUUCGGAAUUAUUGGGCGUAAAGGGCGCGUAGGCGGCCAGGUAAGUCGGACGUGAAAUCCCCAGGCUCAACCUGGGAACUGCGUCCGAUACUGGAUGGCUUGAAUUCGGGAGAGGGAUGCAGAAUUCCAGGUGUAGCGGUGAAAUGCGUAGAUAUCUGGAGGAAUACCGGUGGCGAAGGCGGCAUCCUGGACCGACAUUGACGCUGAUGAGCGAAAGCUAGGGGAGCAAACGGG
rnacentral:rRNA from 1 species